rnacentral:rRNA from 1 species
UACGGGGGGAGCAAGCGUUGUUCGGAUUUACUGGGCGUAAAGGGCGCGUAGGCGGCGCAACAAGUCACUUGUGAAAUCUCCGGGCUUAACUCGGAACGGUCAAGUGAUACUGUUGUGCUAGAGUGCGGAAGGGGCAACUGGAAUUCUCGGUGUAGCGGUGAAAUGCGUAGAUAUCGAGAGGAACACCUGGCGGCGAAGGCGGGUUGCUGGCCGACAC